CCUAACGAUAGUAAAGGAGGUGGCUAAUCAUGCGAAUGAAAUCAUAAGACACGAGGAUAACAGCCAGAAGCUGUACGAGGUUCAGUGCCGCCUGACUGGGAAUCAUGUGAUCGUCCAACCAGGAAGGGUUUUGUUAAAAGAAGGGAUCUUGAUGAAGCGCUCCAGG